rnacentral:rRNA from 1 species
AUUGAACGCUGGCGGCAUGCUUUACACAUGCAAGUCGAACGGUAACAGGCUUUCGGGUGCUGACGAGUGGCGCACGGGUGAGUAAUGCAUCGGAACGUACCCAGAGGUGGGGGAUAACGCAGCGAAAGCUGUGCUAAUACCGCAUGUGAUCUGAGGAUGAAAGCGGGGGACCGAGCAGCAAUGUUUGGCCUCGCGCCUUUGGAGCGGCCGAUGUCGGAUUAGCUAGUUGGUGGGGUAAAGGCCUACCAAGGCGACGAUCCGUAGCUGGUCUGAGAGGACGACCAGCCACACUGGGACUGAGACACGGCCCAGACUCCUACGGGAGGCAGCAGUGGGGAAUUUUGGACAAUGGGCGCAAGCCUGAUCCAGCAAUGCCGCGUGCGGGAAGAAGGCCUUCGGGUUGUAAACCGCUUUUGGCAGGAACGAAACGGUGUCCGCUAAUACCGGGCGCUAAUGACGGUACCUGCAGAAUAAGCACCGGCUAACUACGUG